AUGGGGAAACCCAGUGUGACUCGUCACACUAUCAUUAACUGAAUCCAUAGGUUAAUGAGGCGAACCGGGGGAACUGAAACAUCUAAGUACCCCGAGGAAAAGAAAUCAACCGAGAUUCCCCCAGUAGCGGCGAGCGAACGGGGAGGAGCCCAGAGCCUGAAUCAGCAUGUGUGUUAGUGGAAGCGUCUGGAAAGGCGCGCGAUACAGGGUGACAGCCCCGUACACAAAAGCGCAUGUGCUGUGAGCUCGAUGAGUAGGGCGGGACACGUGGUAUCCUGUCUGAAUAUGGGGGGACCAUCCUCCAAGGCUAAAUACUCCUGACUGACCGAUAGUGAACCAGUACCGUGAGGGAAAGGCGAAAAGAACCCCGGCGAGGGGAGUGAAAAAGAACCUGAAACCGUGUACGUACAAGCAGUGGGAGCACAGGUUUACCUGUGUGACUGCGUACCUUUUGUAUAAUGGGUCAGCGACUUAUAUUCUGUAGCAAGGUUAACCGUAUAGGGGAGCCGGAGGGAAACCGAGUCUUAAUUGGGCGUUAAGUUGCAGGGUAUAGACCCGAAACCCGGUGAUCUAGCCAUGGGCAGGUUGAAGGUUGGGUAACACUAACUGGAGGACCGAACCGACUAAUGUUGAAAAAUUAGCGGAUGACCUGUGGCUGGGGGUGAAAGGCCAAUCAAACCGGGAGAUAGCUGGUUCUCCCCGAAAGCUAUUUAGGUAGCGCCUCGUGAAUUCAUCUCCGGGGGUAGAGCACUGUUUCGGCUAGGGGGCCAUCCCGGCUUACCAACCCGAUGCAAACUGCGAAUACCGGAGAAUGUUAUCACGGGAGACACACGGCGGGUGCUAACGUCCGUCGUGAAGAGGGAAACAACCCAGACCGCCAGCUAAGGUCCCAAAGUCAUGGUUAAGUGGGAAACGAUGUGGGAAGGCCCAGACAGCCAGGAUGUUGGCUUAGAAGCAGCCAUCAUUUAAAGAAAGCGUAAUAGCUCACUGGUCGAGUCGGCCUGCGCGGAAGAUGUAACGGGGCUAAACCAUGCACCGAAGCUGCGGCAGCGACGCUGAUGCGUUGUUGGGUAGGGGAGCGUUCUGUAAGCCUGCGAAGGUGGCCUGUGAGGGUUGCUGGAGGUAUCAGAAGUGCGAAUGCUGACAUAAGUAACGAUAAAGCGGGUGAAAAGCCCGCUCGCCGGAAGACCAAGGGUUCCUGUCCAACGUUAAUCGGGGCAGGGUGAGUCGACCCCUAAGGCGAGGCCGAAAGGCGUAGUCGAUGGGAAACGGGUUAAUAUUCCCGUACUUGGUGUUACUGCGAAGGGGGGACGGAGAAGGCUAUGUUGGCCGGGCGACGGUUGUCCCGGUUUAAGCGUGUAGGUGUGUGUUCCAGGUAAAUCCGGUUCACUUUAACACUGAGGCGUGAUGACGAGGCACUACGGUGCUGAAGCAACAAAUGCCCUGCUUCCAGGAAAAGCCUCUAAGCAUCAGGUAACAUCAAAUCGUACCCCAAACCGACACAGGUGGUCAGGUAGAGAAUACCAAGGCGCUUGAGAGAACUCGGGUGAAGGAACUAGGCAAAAUGGUGCCGUAACUUCGGGAGAAGGCACGCUGACACGUAGGUGAAGUGAUUUACUCAUGGAGCUGAAGUCAGUCGAAGAUACCAGCUGGCUGCAACUGUUUAUUAAAAACACAGCACUGUGCAAACACGAAAGUGGACGUAUACGGUGUGACGCCUGCCCGGUGCCGGAAGGUUAAUUGAUGGGGUCAGCGCAAGCGAAGCUCCUGAUCGAAGCCCCGGUAAACGGCGGCCGUAACUAUAACGGUCCUAAGGUAGCGAAAUUCCUUGUCGGGUAAGUUCCGACCUGCACGAAUGGCGUAAUGAUGGCCAGGCUGUCUCCACCCGAGACUCAGUGAAAUUGAACUCGCUGUGAAGAUGCAGUGUACCCGCGGCAAGACGGAAAGACCCCGUGAACCUUUACUAUAGCUUGACACUGAACAUUGAGCCUUGAUGUGUAGGAUAGGUGGGAGGCUUUGAAGUGUGGACGCCAGUCUGCAUGGAGCCGACCUUGAAAUACCACCCUUUAAUGUUUGAUGUUCUAACGUGGACCCGUGAUCCGGGUUGCGGACAGUGUCUGGUGGGUAGUUUGACUGGGGCGGUCUCCUCCUAAAGAGUAACGGAGGAGCACGAAGGUUGGCUAAUCCUGGUCGGACAUCAGGAGGUUAGUGCAAUGGCAUAAGCCAGCUUGACUGCGAGCGUGACGGCGCGAGCAGGUGCGAAAGCAGGUCAUAGUGAUCCGGUGGUUCUGAAUGGAAGGGCCAUCGCUCAACGGAUAAAAGGUACUCCGGGGAUAACAGGCUGAUACCGCCCAAGAGUUCAUAUCGACGGCGGUGUUUGGCACCUCGAUGUCGGCUCAUCACAUCCUGGGGCUGAAGUAGGUCCCAAGGGUAUGGCUGUUCGCCAUUUAAAGUGGUACGCGAGCUGGGUUUAGAACGUCGUGAGACAGUUCGGUCCCUAUCUGCCGUGGGCGCUGGAGAACUGAGGGGGGCUGCUCCUAGUACGAGAGGACCGGAGUGGACGCAUCACUGGUGUUCGGGUUGUCAUGCCAAUGGCACUGCCCGGUAGCUAAAUGCGGAAGAGAUAAGUGCUGAAAGCAUCUAAGCACGAAACUUGCCCCGAGAUGAGUUCU
rnacentral:rRNA from 1 species